rnacentral:rRNA from 1 species
UUCGGCCACAUCACGCUGAAACACUGAUCCUCGUACAAUCACCGAAGUUAAGCAAUAUCAAGCCUGGUCAAUACCUAGAUGCGUGACCGCUUGGGAGCACCAGGUGCUGUAAG